GCGCCCGUGGCUCAAUUGGAUAGAGCAUCUGCCUACGGAGCAGAAGGUUGGAGGUUCGAAUCUUCCCGGGCGCA
rnacentral:tRNA from 1 species